rnacentral:rRNA from 1 species
CGGGGUACACGAGCGGCGAACGGGUGAGUAACACGUGGGUGAUCUGCCUCGUACUCUGGGAUAAGCCUGGGAAACUGGGUCUAAUACCGGAUAUGACCACGAAUCGCAUGGUUUGUGGUGGAAAGAUUUAUCGGUGCGAGAUGGGCCCGCGGCCUAUCAGCUUGUUGGUGGGGUAAUGGCCUACCAAGGCGACGACGGGUAGCCGGCCUGAGAGGGCGACCGGCCACACUGGGACUGAGACACGGCCCAGACUCCUACGGGAGGCAGCAGUGGGGAAUAUUGCACAAUGGGCGGAAGCCUGAUGCAGCGACGCCGCGUGCGGGAUGACGGCCUUCGGGUUGUAAACCGCUUUCGACAGGGACGAAGCGUGAGUGACGGUACCUGUAGAAGAAGCACCGGCCAACUACGUGCCAGCAGCCGCGGUAAUACGUAGGGUGCGAGCGUUGUCCGGAAUUACUGGGCGUAAAGAGCUUGUAGGCGGUUUGUCGCGUCGUUCGUGAAAACUUGGGGCUCAACCCCAAGCUUGCGGGCGAUACGGGCAGACUAGAGUACUGCAGGGGAGACUGGAAUUCCUGGUGUAGCGGUGAAAUGCGCAGAUAUCAGGAGGAACACCGGUGGCGAAGGCGGGUCUCUGGGCAGUAACUGACGCUGAGAAGCGAAAGCGUGGGUAGCGAACAGGAUUAGAUACCCUGGUAGUCCACGCCGUAAACGGUGGGUACUAGGUGUGGGGUUUCCUUCCACGGGAUCCGU